CUGAUGUCAAGUGAUAUCACAUGGAAGCGAGGAAGGUAGAAAGAAAAGAUAACAUGAAUAAACUGCUCUCUGAAAUAGUUUAGUUUGUUAUUGAUCAUCUGUUUAAAAAAACAACCUUUGUGUUUCUAUGAAAAGCGACAGCCUGCAGUCCUGAAUAGAUUCCACCGACAGGUGGAGGUACAGCACCUGGCAUGAAGCCGUUAUCAAGACAAUAAAGUGAUGAACUAACAGACGCAAUGCCUCCCCUCAUUACUCUGAGACAUGUAUUUGUCCUGGGAGAACCUCACUCACAUUAGUGCCUGACGAUGUCGUCACCUGUGCACGCAUUGGGUUUCCUCUUCAUCGGUUUUUCAUUUCAGGUGAGCGCUGUUACAUUUCAACAAUCUCCUCCCCAGAUAGUGAAGGAGAGCACUGAGGUCCAGAUUAAGUGCAGCCAUGAUGACGAUAACCUUUCAUUAAUGCUCUGGUAUCAGCAAAGACAGGACAUUAUGUCCAUGACCCUCAUCGGGUACGGAUACAAAGGCAGCCCAAACUACGAGGGUCAGUUUGAAGAACAAUUCCAGCUGAGAAGAGAAAACACAGUGAAAGGAGAUCUGAUUGUACGCAAAGCAGACCCGUCACACUCGGCUGUGUAUUUCUGCGCUGCCAGUACACAGUGAUGUGGUUUGAUGCCACUCCCUCUCUAAAAACCCUUUUCACAUGAGGCAGUGUGUCC